rnacentral:rRNA from 1 species
GACGAACGCUGGCGGCGUGCUUAACACAUGCAAGUCGAACGGAAAGGCCCUGCUUUUGUGGGGUGCUCGAGUGGCGAACGGGGGAGUAACACGUGAGUAACCUGCCCUUGACUUUGGGAUAACUUCAGGAAACUGGGGCUAAUACCGGAUAGGAGCUCCUGCUGCAUGGUGGGGGUGGGAAAGUUUCGGUGGUUGGGGUUGGACUCGCGGCUUAUCAGCUUGUUGGUGGGGUAGUGGCUUACCAAGGCUUUGACGGGUAGCCGGCCUGGGCGGGUGACCGGCCACAUUGGGACUGAGAUACGGCCCAGACUCCUACGGGAGGCAGCAGUGGGGAAUAUUGCACAAUGGGCGGAAGCCUGAUGCAGCAACGCCGCGUGCGGGAUGACGGCCUUCGGGUUGUAAACCGCUUUCGCCUGUGACGAAGCGUGAGUGACGGUAAUGGGUAAAGAAGCACCGGCUAACUACGUG